rnacentral:rRNA from 2 species
GGGCGUAAAGCGAGCGCAGGCGGUUUUGUAAGUCUGCUGUGAAAGCCCUCAGCUCAACUGAGGAAGUGCAGUGGAAACUACAAAACUUGAGUACAGAAGAGGAAAGUGGAACUCCAUGUGUAGCGGUGAAAUGCGUAGAUAUAUGGAAGAACACCAGUGGCGAAGGCGGCUUUCUGGUCUGUUACUGACGCUGAGGCUCGAAAGCAUGGGUAGCGAACAGGAUUAGAUACCCUGGUAGUCCAUGCCGUAAACGAUGAAUACUAGGUGUUGGAGGGUUUCCGCCCUUCAGUGCCGCAGCUAACGCAUUAAGUAUUCCGCCUGGGGAGUACGACCGCAAGGUUGAAACUCAAAGGAAUUGACGGGGGCCCGCACAAGUGGUGGAGCAUGUGGUUUAAUUCGAUGCUACGCGAAGAACCUUACCAGCUCUUGACAUCUUCUGCCAACCCAAGAGAUUGGGCGUUCCCUUCGGGGACAGAAUGACAGGUGGUGCAUGGUUGUCGUCAGCUCGUGUCGUGAGAUGUUGGGUUAAGUCCCGCAACGAGCGCAACCCUUAUUAUUAGUUGCCAGCAUUUAGUUGGGCACUCUAGUGAGACUGCCGGUGAUAAACCGGAGGAAGGUGGGGACGACGUCAAAUCAUCAUGCCCCUUAUGAGCUGGGCUACACACGUGCUACAAUGGAUGGUACAACGAGUCGCGAAACCGCGAGGUCAAGCUAAUCUCUUAAAGCCAUUCUCAGUUCGGAUUGCAGGCUGCAACUCGCCUGCAUGAAGUUGGAAUCACUAGUAAUCGUGGAUCAGCAUGCCACGGUGAAUACGUUCCCGGGCCUUGU